GAUGAACGCUAGCGGGAGGCUUAACACAUGCAAGUCGAGGGGCAGCAUAGGGUAGCAAUACUCUGAUGGCGACCGGCAAACGGGUGAGUAACGCGUAUGCAACCUACCCUGUACAGGGGGAUAACCCGGAGAAAUUCGGACUAAUAUCCCGUAAUAAUAUCCGGAGGCAUCUUUGGAUAUUUAAAGUUCCGACGGUACGGGAUGGGCAUGCGUAACAUUAGCUGGUUGGUAAGGUAACGGCUUACCAAGGCUAUGAUGUUUAGGGGUCCUGAGAGGGUGGUCCCCCACACUGGUACUGAGACACGGACCAGACUCCUACGGGAGGCAGCAGUGAGGAAUAUUGGUCAAUGGGCGCAAGCCUGAACCAGCCAUCCCGCGUGCAGGAAGACGGCCCUAUGGGUUGUAAACUGCUUUUCCAGGGAGAGAAACUUACGCACGUGUUGCGUGACUGACGGUACCCUGGGAAUAAGCAUCGGCUAACUCCGUGCCAGCAGCCGCGGUAAA
rnacentral:rRNA from 1 species